rnacentral:rRNA from 1 species
AAAAGAUUUAUCGGUGUGAGAUGGACCCGCGUCUGAUUAGCCAGUUGGCAGGGUAACGGCCUACCGAAGCGACGAUCAGUAGCCGGCCUGAGAGGGUGAACGGCCACAUUGGGACUGAGACACGGCCCAAACUCCUACGGGAGGCAGCAGUGGGGAAUAUUGCACAAUGGGGGAAACCCUGAUGCAGCGACGCCGCGUGAGUGAAGAAGUAUUUCGGUAUGUAAAGCUCUAUCAGCAGGGAAGAAAAUGACGGUACCUGACUAAGAAGCCCCGGCUAACUACGUGCCAGCAGCCGCGGUAAUACGUAGGGGGCAAGCGUUAUCCGGAUUUACUGGGUGUAAAGGGAGCGUAGACGGUGAUGCAAGUCAGAAGUGAAAGCCCGGGGCUCAACUCCGGGACUGCUUUUGAAACUGUGUAACUGGAGUGCAGGAGAGGUAAGCGGAAUUCCUGGUGUAGCGGUGAAAUGCGUAGAUAUCAGGAGGAACACCAGUGGCGAAGGCGGCUUACUGGACUGUAACUGACGUUGAGGCUCGAAAGCGUGGGGAGCAAACAGGAUUAGAUACCCUGGUAGUCCACGCC